GGCUCAGUAUUCACAGGGAAAGCUGUGAGGGGCAACUUCCUGGGAGCUAAGGCUACUAAAAGGUAGAAGCCACAGUACUCAUCUGCAGAGGGCUUACAGCCUCAGCAAGGACCUUGUGGCUUUGUAACAACAAUCAGCCAUAACAAGUUUACUUGUGGAAAAGAAAAGGUGUAGCACUUUCAGAAGAGGCUAUCAAAGAAAAGAGAUGAACUUGGAAGCAAGAGAUACGCAGAUGAGAAAACCAAGGCACAGAGGUGUUAUGUGAUCACACAGCUAGUAAGUGCUAAACAUGAGAUUUGCACCUGGCAGAUUGGUGCCAGAAGUCGUCUCUUAACUGCUAUUCUGUACUGCCUCUGUCUUUUGAAAAAGACAAUGAGAACCCUGGAAAAGUGACAAGGAAGAUAAAGACAACUAUCAAAGGAAUGGGAAAACAGCAUAACAUUUAAAAGAAAAGAUUUUUGU
rnacentral:lncRNA from 1 species